UAGAGCACUGUUUCGGCUAGGGGGCCAUCCCGGCUUACCAACCCGAUGCAAACUGCGAAUACCGGAGAAUGUUAUCACGGGAGACACACGGCGGGUGCUAACGUCCGUCGUGAAGAGGGAAACAACCCAGACCGCCAGCUAAGGUCCCAAAGUCAUGGUUAAGUGGGAAACGAUGUGGGAAGGCCCAGACAGCCAGGAUGUUGGCUUAGAAGCAGCCAUCAUUUAAAGAAAGCGUAAUAGCUCACUGGUCGAGUCGGCCUGCGCGGAAGAUGUAACGGGGCUAAACCAUGCACCGAAGCUGCGGCAGCGACACUGUGUGU
rnacentral:rRNA from 1 species